UGCCAACAUCUGAUACCUUACGUUCCAGCAUAGAGACAUAACCAGAAAUGGCGUCGACAUUGAGGUGUUUGCUGGUUGUGUUUGCCCUCGGGGCUGUCUGUUGUGCAAACAGGGGCAAAUUUACUUCUAUGUCAAAUUUGGAAAAGCUUUUUUACAUCGAAUCUGAAGUUAUAGCGCUCUCUGACGUAUUUCUUCGUGAGGAACAUUUCGCCCACCAAGGCGAGGACCCCCAUAACCUCGGAGGAAUGAAAAAAACCGUGGAGAAGAACAAGGUGAUUCACCGGAACAUCUCGAAUAUGAGCGAGUACCUGAGCCACCCAAUCAAUGUGUUCCAUCUGACGAGGCGCCUCUGCAGAGAGUGGAAGUCCACGCUACAGAUCAUAUGGACCGGAGAGCCGUGUCAGAAAUGGAAUAUCCCCCAGCUGAAGGCUAGAUUGGCCAAUAUCAACAACAAUAUGCCGACCAGAGACGACCUGAUGCGAGUUGCCCUUGGCAUCGCCCACAUCCAGUACACAGAGAACAUGACUUUUGAUGACAUCUACGCCGGGGUCAUCAGAGGCCGGAAGUCCCUGCAACCAGUGAUCAUUGAAGACCUCAUAGAUUUGGCCUGGGGGGCGUUCAGCGGGGGUCAGUUCCUGUUCACGACGAACGUUGUAGAGCGAGUCCUUAAAGAAUGCAAGAAAAACCCCGGGAGCGAGUACUGCAAUUCACCGAAGGCGUUCAAGAUAGCUGCAUCGUCAUACUAUGAGAUGAAUAAACUGGAAGAGGCAGUUCAAAUGAUAGACAAAGUUCUUUCAAUGGAUCCAGAAGACAAAGGUGCCCUAAGAAGCCGUCGGUUUUACGCAGGGAGGCUGAGGAGCAAGUCCAGGGGCAAGGAGGUCCUCUUCGGCGCCCGGAACGUCAAAUACUACGAGACUUGCAGGGGAGAGAGGAGGAAGAGCUCCGCCCAGAUGUCCCGCCUACACUGUGUCCUGCUCCCCACCCGUUACUUCCUGGUGUUUGAGAAGGCAGAGUACCAUCACAUGGAUCCACCCAUUGUGGAAUUCCACUCAACCAUACAGCCGCAGUUCCUCAAAGUAAUGAAGAGAAUUGCAACAAAAGCCUACCGCGAGAUGGCAACGAGGAACCUCUACCAGUCCCCGGACUUCACGUUUCGGCCGCUCCCUACGUAUGCAUAUAAACAGUAUGCUUCAAGAUUCAUGCACCUCAAGUCUCCGCUAACAUGGCCCUUUGUGGAGGGAAGCGUCGAGAUCCGACAGAUCAGCCUGGAAGGCAUGUAUUUCAGGCCUAAAGAUCGAGAAAACUUGCCGAAUCUUGGCUCCCACGUUGGGUCUUUCUUUACCUUUCUGGACGACGAAUACAACGGCGGGGAAUUUGUAUUUCCUAAAUACAAGCUAAAGAUAACUCCCAACAUUGGCAAUACUAUAUUCUUCUUCCCGACUAGAAGCACACUGAACAUCUGUCCCGUAUCUUAUGGAGUCCAAUGGCUUGCGGUUCAGUCACUAUUCGAGAAGAAAGUGAAGGGCUUGUGUCGCCUUUAUGACCAGAACAUGUGGGAUAAGGACGGCAAAUGGAAGUUGGCGUAUUAACUCGGACUGGCUUGGCUUCCUGACUUCAUCAUUGCAGAGGGUGUUGUUCACACCACGCAUCAGUCACCCUCGUACUCGACACAUUCAUUCUAAGCCCAUCCCAGUGUAAGAGUGGCUGAUCUUAUGCUGGUAUAUUCUUCACAUUGUGGGGAAGUGGACCAGGGUGCCGUUGUACAAAGCGAUCUUAGCGCUAAGGUGAUCGUAACUCCCAUAUCUUAACAUAGACUUACGACAGACGUAGCGCUAAGUUUGUUUUGUAUAACGGCACCCCUGUGUUUUAUAUGUACAUGUACCCUGUGACAAGAUGUGUGUGUGUGUGUGUGUGUGUGUGUGUGGGGG
rnacentral:misc_RNA from 1 species